CCGGGAGUUACACACCAACGAAUUUCUAAAGAAAGCCUAACAAAAAGGCAAAUAAAGCAAGAGGAUUCUCACAGACUCACUGCUGCAGGGCUUUAAAAUCUCAGCCUCAUCUAUUGAACACUAGCCCAGCUUCCCUCAACCCCUCAAAGCAGCAAGAUUUAUGCAAGCCUCCUGUGACAGCAGAGCUUCUGUCCCAUCAGUAGCCUUAUCAAAUCUGUCCUAUAGCCCCAUCAGACCUGAGCGAACACCUGCUUUCCAGAUGUACAGACGCCAAGAGGAAUCUGAGACCAGAGUGGUGAAGUGAUUUACCCAACAUUGUCUACCUGGGUGUCAGCACAGCCUGAGCUCAGACUUCCCUGCGUGGUUCCAUCGUUUAGUCAACAAAUAUUUAUUGAUUGCCUACAACAUCACACAGACCAUUUAGAGAUUGGAUCUCGCUAUGCUGCCAAGGCUGGUUGCAAACUCCUGGCCUCAAGUGAUCCUCCCACCUUGACCUCCCAAUGUGCUGUGAUUAUAGGUGUGCAUCACUGCACCUGGCAUUGAUUCAGUAGACUUUGAAUAAAGCAGAUUAUUCCCCAAAAUGUGAGUGGGCCUCAUUCAAUCGGUUGACAACAUUGAGAAAAAAAAAGGUCCCUCAAGGAAGAAGUUCUGCCUCCAGACAAUCUUCAGGCU
rnacentral:lncRNA from 1 species